UACGGCCAUAUCACGUUGAAACACCGGUUUUCGUGCGAUCACAGUAGUUAAGCAACAUUGAGUCUGGUCAGUACCUAGUUGGGUAACCGUUUGGGAAUACCAAGUGUUGUAA